GAGCAUCACUUUCUGGCUCCAAUGUGGAUCCCUCAGCUUGGUGGCACAAAUUCUUCAUCUCACCAGUGCAGAUUUCUGGCUUCCACCACUGGCCUUUGUGCUUUCCAGGUGAAGGAGAACUCAUGAUCCAUUGAUAUGAUAGACUAAUGGGAUAACUUGAACUUACAUUCAAGUGUCUGAUGGAUAACUAUUCAGAUUCUCAUUUUCUGAGAUGUCGAAGAAACUUGGGGUUGAAGGACAAGGUUCCUCUGGAAUAGGAAUUUUCUUCAGAAGAUGGUGAAAUAUUUCUUCUCCUCAAGGGAGAAGAGUGGGAGAAGGAAAAAUUAACAGUCCCACUUCUGCAGUUUCCUCAAAUGCCAAGGAGCCAUAUUUGGGGGUAUCAUUUCUUGAAUCACAUGAUUAGCCAUGAUAUAUCUGGUUUCAGUUCUAUAAAAAAUAGUCAUUCUGUUUAUCUAAAUGUUGAUGUUCAAACUUACUGUUCAGAAUAAGUUUCAAGAUUAAAAAAAAUUAGAAGAAUUGAAUGGAAAUAAAUCACAUUACAUGUUGGGGCGUAAGAGGACGAAUGGCUGAGCAGUGACCCCCAGUCCUGGAAUACUGGUUCUCACGGGGCACAGGUGUCCCAAAGGUGAAGUGCUGGAGCCAAGUCCCUCCUCAUAAACAGCCCCCUAAUUCCUUCUUUGUUCCUGUUCCCAGUAUACACUCCCUUUUAGUCAGGAAAGAUGUUAUCGUAUCUAGAUGUUCUAUCUUUAGUUUGAACAGUGUGUAUCCACUCAUGCCUCCUUGUGACUGCUAUUAAUCAUCAAACCGCUGUGAUCACGCUUCUUUGUGUGUCCCAGAAACUAGCUAUAAAGACCCUGGGUAAGAAAUAAACUUUAUCAUUAGCCAUCAGCUUCUGGUCAUUCUCAUUGUGUCUG